GGAGGCAGCAGUGGGGAAUAUUGGACAAUGGGCGCAAGCCUGAUCCAGCAAUGCCGCGUGAGUGAAGAAGGUCUUCGGAUUGUAAAGCACUUUAAGUUGGGAGGAAGAGCAUUAACCUAAUACGUUGAUGUUUUGACGUUACCGACAGAAUAAGCACCGGCUAACUCUGUGCCAGCAGCCGCGGUAAUACAUAGGGUGGCAAGCGUUAAUCGGAUUACUGGGCGUAAAGCGUGCGCAGGCGGUUUUGUAAGUCUGUCGUGAAAGCCCCGGGCUCAACCUGGGAACUGCAGUCGAAACUGCAAAGCUUGAAUGUUGGAGAGGUUGGGGGAAUACCUAGUGGAGAAGUGAAAUUCGUAGAGAUUAGGUGGAACACCAGAGGCGAAGGCGCCUGACUGGCCAAACAUUGACGCUCAUGCACGAAAGCGUGGGGAUCAAAUCAGGAUUAGAUACCCUGGUAGUCCACGCCGUAAACGAUGGACACUAGCCGUUCGAAGCAUUAACCCUUUGAGUGGCAAAGCUAACGCAUUAAGUGUCCCGCCUGGGAAGUACGGUCGCAAGAUUAAAACUCAAAGGAAUUGACGGGGACCCGCACAAGCAGUGGAGCAUGUGGAUAAUUCGAUGCAACGCGAAGAACCUUACCUGGCCUUGACAUCCACGGAAUUCGGCAGAGAUGCCUUAGUGCCUUCGGGAACCGUGUGACAGGUGCUGCAUGGCUGUCGUCAGCUCGUGUCGUGAGAUGUUGGGUUAAGUCCCGCAACGAGCGCAACCCUUGUCAUUAGUUGCUACGCAAGAGCACUCUAAUGAGACUGCCGGUGACAAACCGGAGGAAGGUGGGGAUGACGUCAAGUCCUCAUGGCCCUUAUGGGUAGGGCUUCACACGUCAUACAAUGGUACAUACAGAGGGCCGCCAACCCGCGAGGGGGAGCUAAUCCCAGAAAGUGUAUCGUAGUCCGGAUCGCAGUCUGCAACUCGACUGCGUGAAGGCGGAAAUCGCUAGUAAUCGCAGAUCAGCAUGACGCGGUGAAUCCGUUUCCGGGCCUUGUACACACCGCCCGUCACACCAUGGGAGCGGGUUUUACCAGAAGUAGGUAGCUUAACCGCAAGGAGGGCGCUUACCACGGUAG
rnacentral:rRNA from 1 species